ACGCUCGACACCUACGGGAGGCAGCAGUGGGGAAUAUUGCACAAUGGGGGAAACCCUGAUGCAGCGACGCCGCGUGAAGGAAGAAGUAUCUCGGUAUGUAAACUUCUAUCAGCAGGGAAGAAAAUGACGGUACCUGACUAAGAAGCCCCGGCUAACUACGUGCCACAGCCGCGGUAAUCUGAGCGGGCUGCGAAGGC
rnacentral:rRNA from 1 species